CCUACGGGAGGCAGCAGUAGGGAAUAUUGCUCAAUGGGGGAAACCCUGAAGCAGCAACGCCGCGUGGAGGAUGAAGGUUUUCGGAUUGUAAACUCCUUUUGUUAGAGAAGAUAAUGACGGUAUCUAACGAAUAAGCACCGGCUAACUCCGUGCCAGCAGCCGCGGUAAUACGGAGGGUGCAAGCGUUACUCGGAAUCACUGGGCGUAAAGAGCGCGUAGGCGGGAUAGCAAGUCAGAUGUGAAAUCCUAUGGCUUAACCAUAGAACUGCAUUUGAAACUGUUAUUCUAGAGUAUGGGAGGGGUAGGUGGAAUUCUUGGUGUAGGGGUAAAAUGCGUAGAGAUCAAGAGGAAUACUGAUUGCGAAGGCGACCUGCUAGAACAUAACUGACGCUGAUGCGCGAAAGCGUGGGGAGCAAACAGGAUUAGAUACCCUUGUAGUC
rnacentral:rRNA from 1 species